rnacentral:rRNA from 1 species
GACGAACGCUGGCGGCGUGCUUAACACAUGCAAGUCGAGCGGUAAGGCCCUUUCGGGGGUACGACGAGCGGCGAACGGGUGAGUAACACGUGGGUGACCUGCCCUCAGCUCUGGGAUAAGCCUGGGAAACCGGGUCUAAUACUGGAUAUGACUCCAUGACGCAUGUUGUGGGGUGGAAAGCCUUGUGCGGCUGAGGAUGGGCCCGCGGCCUAUCAGCUUGUUGGUGGGGUGAUGGCCUACCAAGGCGACGACGGGUAGCCGGCCUGAGAGGGCGGACCGGCCACACUGGGACUGAGACACGGCCC